CACAUAUACAGUGUGUUAUAUAUUAUAUACAUGAUCAUACGAGUGUAUUACUGUAGUGCAGCGGUUGCAUGAACUGCACGGCGUCAUAGCAACCAAUGACGCCAUGCGCUCCUGCUGUCAGCAGGGUGCCAGGCUGGGAUACCAU